CAUGUCCUGACAGUAUUGACAUUAAUCCAAUGUAACUAUGUCGAUGUGCUGCACAUGAUACUGAGAAGAAUGAAGAUAAUGGGGACAGUAAGGCCAUAGGAUUAACUUUCUCAAGAAGAUAUUGGAGUCAUAAAGAUGUGUAUUUCUUAACCUGUAGAAAAGGCGAGUCAUUUUGGAAAUAUUAUUUUCAGAUUAGCAUUGUCGAUUAUGCAUACAUCACACACUUAAUCUACCUCGGGUUCAUUAUUACAGGUUUUUCUAGCUUUAAGGAGAUUGAAAGGGAACUGGAAUAGGAUAAGAUGACAUUUGAGACACAGCUUAUCAUUAGUUUUGCUAAUUCCAGAAUGGUGACUUCAAUAUUUAUCAUGAGGAACAAUAAGUUUUCCAGCGUGAAACUGGUUAGAGCUUUCUUUUUUUUUUUCUAAGCAACAGCUGGUUAGAGAUUUCUAAAUCUCAUGAUAUUUAUUUACUCACAAUAUAAGGGAACAAUGGGUUUUGCUUCACCUUUUCUUCUCUAUUGUAGUUUGCAUAGAUAAAUAUGCAGCGACGGCGGUGACGAAAAUAUUAAUCGAGCUGAAGCCUUGCAAUCUGAUUAUGUUUAUAUAUACCUUUAUCUCUAUCUCUAUUGCAUUGGACUACAAUAAACGAGCUCAACCUUUUUCACUUGAGUUAAUGACGACUGAUUACCACUGCCUGGUCGAUGCUCCCUUCCAUUUGAACUUAAUCGUUCCAAAGGAAACUCUACCACAGAGCCUUAAAUUUCCCUACACACCCUUCUGCUACUAACUUAUACAAGAAACAAUCUCAGCACAAGCAACAGGGAUCGGUAGGCAUUGGCAUAUACAUAUACGGUGCUUUGACUGCUGUCCCCCUAACUA